UACGUAGGGCGCAAGCGUUGUCCGGAAUUAUUGGGCGUAAAGAGCUCGUAGGCGGCUUGUCACGUCGAUUGUGAAAGCCCGAGGCUUAACCUCGGGUCUGCAGUCGAUACGGGCUAGCUAGAGUGUGGUAGGGGAGAUCGGAAUUCCUGGUGUAGCGGUGAAAUGCGCAGAUAUCGGGAGGAACACCAGUAGCGAAGGCGACACUCUGGGCCGGUACUGACGCUGAGGCGCGAAAGCUAGGGUAGCAAACGGG
rnacentral:rRNA from 1 species